GACGAACGCUGGCGGCGUGCUUAACACAUGCAAGUCGAACGGAAAGGCCCUGCUUUUGUGGGGUGCUCGAGUGGCGAACGGGUGAGUAACACGUGAGUAACCUGCCCUUGACUUUGUGAUAACUUCAGGAAACUGGGGCUAAUACCGGAUAGGAGCUCCUGCUGCAUGGUGGGGGUUGGAAAGUUUCGGCGGUUGGGGAUGGACUCGCGGCUUAUCAGCUUGUUGGUGGGGUAGUGGCUUACCAAGGCUUUGACGCGUAGCCGGCCUGAGAGGGUGACCGGCCACAUUGGGACUGAGAUACGGCCCAGACUCCUACGGGAGGCAGCAGUGGGGAAUAUUGCACAAUGGGCGGAAGCCUGAUGCAGCAACGCCGCGUGCGGGAUGACGGCCUUCGGGUUGUAAACCGCUUUCGCCUGUGACGAAGCGUGAGUGACGGUAAUGGGUAAAGAAGCACCGGCUAACUACGUG
rnacentral:rRNA from 1 species